UGCGAACGUCAGAGCGGAUGAAGGGAGCUUGAUCCUGGAUUCAGCGGCGGACGGGUGAGUAAUGCCUAGGAAUCUGCCUGGUAGUGGGGGAUAACGUCCGGAAACGGGCGCUAAUACCGCAUACGUCCUGAGGGAGAAAGUGGGGGAUCUUCGGACCUCACGCUAUCAGAUGAGCCUAGGUCGGAUUAGCUAGUUGGUGGGGUAAAGGCCUACCAAGGCGACGAUCCGUAACUGGUCUGAGAGGAUGAUCAGUCACACUGGAACUGAGACACGGUCCAGACUCCUACGGGAGGCAGCAGUGGGGAAUAUUGGACAAUGGGCGAAAGCCUGAUCCAGCCAUGCCGCGUGUGUGAAGAAGGUCUUCGGAUUGUAAAGCACUUUAAGUUGGGAGGAAGGGCAGUAAGUUAAUACCUUGCUGUUUUGACGUUACCAACAGAAUAAGCACCGGCUAACUUCGUGCCAGCAGCCGCGGUAAUACGAAGGGUGCAAGCGUUAAUCGGAAUUACUGGGCGUAAAGCGCGCGUAGGUGGUUCAGCAAGUUGGAUGUGAAAUCCCCGGGCUCAACCUGGGAACUGCAUCCAAAACUACUGAGCUAGAGUACGGUAGAGGG
rnacentral:rRNA from 1 species